CGGCAACAGCUCAAAUUUGAAAUCUGGCCUUUGGCCCGAGUUGUAAUUUGUAGAGGAUGCUUUUGGUGCGGUGCCUUCCGAGUUCCCUGGAACGGGACGCCUUAGAGGGUGAGAGCCCCGUACGGUUGGACGCCUAGCCUCUGUAAAGCUCCUUC
rnacentral:rRNA from 1 species